GCAACCAAAAGAUUAUGAUUAGGAGAAAAAGAAACUAUGAAGAAGAGAGUUAAUGCGAUAACACCAUUAAACCCUCGCUCCCGACGAUAGGCGCCUAACCCUAGAAAGGAUAAAACCUUUUCUCUCUCAGCUGCUGCUCCGGCGGCCGGUGCUUCCCACUACCACUGGGAGCAGUCCCGUGCCGUCUCUGUUAAUAGUUUUACUGUUUUAAUUUUGGUUUUUUUUUAAUAUCUUUUGGAGCUUGGUUUCAGAUCUGAGUCUAAGGAGGGACUAAGGUACUCUGGUCUUGGAUUUGGGUCGCCUUGACUCGGUUGGAAAGUAACUGUUGUUGGGCUUAUCGUUUUCUGAGCGUGAUUCAGUAUUCUAGAGCCGGUGAAGGUUAGAGGUGAAGCUGGGGAUCGUGUUUCUCCCGUUUAUGGCCACUCCUAAGAUGUUUUAUGGAUAGUGUUGGUCUUUAGUCCUAGGGUCUUUGGAUAUUUUUGCUAUGGAUCUGAGGCUUCAGCUACUUGGGCUCUCUCGAAGAUAUGGACGAAUCUCUUCAUCUUGUGCUCGCCUUAUUUGGAUUGCCUCUCUAGUUUCAAAACUGCUUUCUGGUGCGCAGUGCAGGAAUAUACCGGCUCUGAUCUGGGUUUAUAAUUCUUCGAUCAGAUUUGGUGAGGCGGUUUGAUCCUUGGUGGUUGUGAGGUUGCGGCUCUAGUCUCCAUGUCUCUUGCUCCUCUAGCCAUAGGUUUUUCUUGCCUUAGUAUGUGUUUUGCGGUGGGGUGUGACUGAGAUUUCGUUUACUUUCUGGUUCCUGCUGGUCUCGGGGUUGAUGACUGGUGGUUCUUAUUAGAUGCGGUUGGGUGUUCUUACUGUAAUAUUUGGUAUUGUCGUAUGGCCUUUGUGGCGUCUUUUCAUCUAUCGGUCUUUUUUUGGUAAGGUUUCGAUGCUCGACCUUUGAGUUUCAAGUUGUAAUUUUAUGUGUGAUGCUUUGGUGAGGCGAGGUUGUGUUGUUCCUUGGUGUUUAACCAACGGGGUUCUCCAGAUUUCUUGUAAGGAAAUGUAGAGCUUUAGCUCAAUCGAGUUCGGUCUUUAGGUAGAUUGAUUGUCAACCGUUUCUCGUUUCUGAUCAGGUGGAGAUUCACUGUCUUGUGGCUUACAUGUUGAAGCUUUGUUCUUGAGUGGUGGAUGCUCGUGGUUCUUUGUGGAGCUCUUCUCUCACCUCCAAUAAUUUAGACCGUCAAUGCCUUCUCACUUAUUCUGGCUUCUCUUACCGUCUUGCAUCGCAUCAUUAUUAUCAGUCUACAUGGUCCAGAAAGUCUUGUUUAAUCUUGUUCUCUCCUUGGCUUUUGUUAAUUAGUCGCUCUGUAGAGUCUUUCUAUGUAUCCAGCCGCUAGACCCUGAGAAUUACAUUAGCAAUCCCCAAUUCCAAAGGCAAGAAACUUGUUCGAACAGUGCAAGUAGGUAACUUCGACUCGGUGUCGUUGAUAACUACCAUACCUUGCACUUUUUUCCACCAGCUACCAAAGCACGGGAAAUCGGCCAAUUCAUACGUCAACAAGAGCUAACGGUCCCGAUCAGUACAUAAACACCUUACCUAUGCGAAAACAUACAUAAACUAGUAUAAAAUUCAAUUUUCCAUUCAUAAAAUUACAAAAUUGGGUUUUAACAUACAUUGACCUGAUUUCCGUUAGUCAAACAUUACGGAAUAAGAGUUUUCGUUAACCGGUAACAUCAAAUUGGCCAAUUCCUACAUCAACAGGGGUCAUAAACACUUUACAUGUGCGAAAACAUACAUACUGGUAGAACUCAUCGUCAAACCCAACUCGUGAAUCAUUUUCUCCAACAUAAAGUUAUGUGUCGCGCCGCUGUGAAUAAGCACUACGACCGCCGUAUUCCCCAGAGCUUCAUCAUUCUCGGAGAUGUUAAUCCCACCACAAAGUUAAGAGACACCUCCGCCACCCUCGCUUCCACUCCUUCGUCGCCUUCCUCGAGCUCACACGGUUCCUCCAACAACUCAUCCUUGUCUCCGUUCACAUGUAGGAGCAAGACCUUAAGCUGAGCUUGAGGACACUGAUGAUUCGGGUGGAAUUUCUCAUCGCACUUGAAACAUAAACCCUCGGCCUUCCAUCUCUCCACCUCCGCCUGCGUAAACCUCCGGAAUGGAGGUUUCAAUCUUCCGUGAGACGGCUAAACCCUAUUUCCGUUGCCACGCUGGUUGGAGUUUUCUGGAUUAGUUUGGGUCUUGGGCUUAGUUUGUGUUUGGGUCUGCGUGUAACCUGUGUUAGUGGGCCUGUGCGACGGUUGCUGACUUCUGUAAUAUCAAUCUAUACAUCCUCCACAAUUGAUUGAGAUGGCUCCAGGUCCAGAUCCGAACAGCGUUGGUGAUGGUGCGAAGAGGG
rnacentral:lncRNA from 1 species